rnacentral:rRNA from 1 species
GUUCCGACCUGCACGAAUGGCGUAACGACUUCCCCGCUGUCUCCAACAUCGACUCAGCGAAAUUGAAUUGCCUGUCAAGAUGCAGGCUUCCCGCGGUUAGACGGAAAGACCCCGUGCACCUUUACUACAACUUCGCACUGGCAUCAGGAUUGUGAUGUGCAGGAUAGGUGGUAGGCUUUGAAACCGGAACGCCAGUUCCGGUGGAGCCUCCCUUGAGAUACCACCCUUCGCACUCUUGAUGUCUAACCGCGGCCCGUUAUCCGGGUCCGGGACCCUGCGUGGUGGGUAGUUUGACUGGGGCGGUCGCCUCCCAAAUGGUAACGGAGGCGCGCGAAGGUGGGCUCAGAGCGGUCGGAAAUCGCUCGUUGAGUGCA